AAUAGGUAAUGAUUUUUAGGUUCUUAAAAGUUUGACCUUUUAAGAUUAAAAGGGAAAGUAGUGAAAGUCUACUACAGCCCCCGCUACUGUAAUGGAAGACUAACCUCUAAGGUAUAUAGAAAUAAAAAGUGCUGCUAAGCAAAUAGACAAACUUUUUAUUAUAUACUAAAAAUCCACUGAGAAAUUAUUCUUGGGAAGGAAGAGCGUUAGGGUGACGCCAGAGUCAGGAGACCUGCCUAAAGAUUUUGACUGAG
rnacentral:ncRNA from 2 species